UACGUAGGGUGCAAGCGUUAAUCGGAAUUACUGGGCGUAAAGCGUGCGCAGGCGGUUUUGUAAGCCAGAUGUGAAAGCCCCGGGCUCAACCUGGGAACUGCGUUGGAAACUGUCGGGCUAGAGUGUAGAAGAGGGGGGUAGAAUUCCACGUGUAGCAGUGAAAUGCGUAGAGAUGUGGAGGAAUACCGAUGGCGAAGGCAGCCCCCUGGGCUAACACUGACGCUCAUGCACGAAAGCGUGGGGAGCAAACAGGAUUAGAUACCCCGUGUACGUCC
rnacentral:rRNA from 1 species